rnacentral:rRNA from 1 species
UACGGAGGUGGCAAGCGUUGUUCGGAAUUACUGGGCGUAAAGGGCGCGUAGGCGGCAAGGCAAGUCAGGUGUGAAAGCCCCGGGCUCAACUCGGGAACUGCAUCUGAAACUGCUGUGCUUGAGUCCUGGAGGGGGUACUGGAAUUCCCGGUGUAGCGGUGAAAUGUGUAGAGAUCGGGAGGAACACCGGUGGCGAAGGCGGGUCUCUGGGCAAUUCCUGACGCUGAGGCGCGAAAGCGUGGGGAGCAAACGGG